AACCUGGUUGAUCCUGCCAGUCGUCAUAUGCUUGUUUCAAGGAUUAAGCCAUGCAAGUGUCAGAGUAACUGGAUUAAGAAGAGGUCUGCGUACGGCUCAUUACAUCAUCAAUUAUCUACCCAGCGUAGUACCUGUUUCAGGUGCCAAUUGGAUAACUUCGGUAACUCCGAAGCUAAUACACGUAUGAAAAAGCUUGCCCCCGUUCAAGCCCGAAGGGGAAACCUGACGGGUGGGGGUGGGUUGCAGUUGGCCGAUACGAGAACCAACGAUCGUUGAGAUCAGCACUAACUGUUGAGGCAGGCCAAUAUUGCGAAAGCGCACAUCUUCGGAUGGCGCGAUGCUGGACGAAUUUAUGCCCUAUCAGCUUUAGAUGGUAGGGUAGUGGCCUACCAUGGCUUUGACGGGUAACGGAGAAUUGGGGUUCGAUUCCGGAGAGGGUGCCUGAGAGAUGGCAACCAUACCUAAGGGAAGCAGCAGGCGCGCAAAUUACCCAAUGCCAACACUGGUGAGGUAGCGACGAAAAAUAACAACUCUGCUGCACACACGUGUAGUGGAGAUUGUAAUGGAUUGUAUCCAAAACCACUGCUGAGUAUCAAUUGGAGGGCAAGCCCGGUGCCAGCAGCCGCGGUAAUUCCGGCUCCAAUAGCGUAUAUUAAUGUUGUUGCGGUUAAAAAGCUCGUAGUUGGAUUCAGGCUUUAUGGUUGUGGCGAGCCUUUCAGUUCGGUUGCCACGCAGGUUCUUCCUGUCGUGUGUCAGCCGUCUGUUUGGGUCAACUCGUCACACUAGACCAUGACCCUUUGUACGUGGUAAAGUUUGGACUGUUGAAGGCCUCUUCAUUGAGGCUGGAUUCACCUUCGCAGUAAACACACUGCUUACGUCCCGACCACGGAUGUUACUGUGAGUAAAUCAGAUUGUUCAAAGAAACCGACUCGUUCGGUCUGAAUGUUUCAGCAUGGAAUAACAAGGGAUCGACCACUGUUGGCCUCUUUUGUUGGUUUUCAUGCCAUAGUGCGGCAACUCGGGACAGGAUUCUCGACGUAGCUGCUUCAUUCCUUUGGUUUGUAGCACUACUAAGAGGCCUGUUACGUUCGGGAUCAAUAGAGGCAGUUGGGGUGGUCCGUACUUGGUGGUGAGAGGUGAAAUUCUUAGACCCACCAAAGACGAACAUCAGCGAAGGCAGUCUACCAAUCUGCUUUCAUUAAUCAAGAACGAGAGUAAGGGGAUCGAAGAUGAUCAGAUACCGUCGUAGUCCUUUACCGUAAAUUAUGCGGACUUGGGAUCGGUCACUGCUCUCUUAGUGACUUGAUCGGCACCUCCCCCUUUAUCGAGAAAUCAAAGUUUUUGCGUUCCGGGGGGAGUACAUUCGCAAGGCUGAAACUUAAAGGAAUUGACGGAAUGACACCACCAGACGUGGAGUGUGUGGCUUAAUUUGACUCAACACGGGAAAUUUUACCAGGUCAGGACAUGGCUAGGAUUGCCAGAUUGAGAGCUCUUGCAUGAUUCCAUGGAGGGUGGUGCAUGGCCGUUCUUGGUUGGUGGAGUGAUUUGUCUGCUUAAUUGCGUUAACGAACGAGAUCUCUGCUAAUAAAUAGAUGCUCCUUUCGCUUGUAAGUUUGAAUCAAGUUCGGGGCCUUCGGGUUUUUGCACUUGAUUCGGCUGCAAGGGAGAAGUUUA
rnacentral:rRNA from 1 species